UUUCAAAAACUGUUUUUGGGAAACAAAAUUGAUUUUAAUUCUGUUCAUUAUUCAAGCUUUAGUUGGCUAGAAAAUAGUAUUAAAUGUGAUGCUAUUUAUUGUUUUUGCUGUCGCAAUUUUAGCAUAGCAAGUGAUAAUCAUGAUUCUACGUUUACAAGUAUCGGAUUUAACAACUGGAUAAAAUUUUGUACAUUUUUGGUCGAAAAUCGGAGUAUUUUUACUACCCAAGAAGUUGAUAUCAAACUGAAAAAAACAUACAUCGUUAUAAAAAACAAUACAUUUAUCACUACACUCAGAAUCAAAAAAAAAAGAACAAAUAUAUUUGAUAAUUUUAUUUUGUGAAUAUAGAUAUUGGAAUACAAAUCGGUACAGUGUGUGUACUUUGUAAUAAUAAUACUAUUUUUGACUAAUGCACAUUUCGUUUAAUAUUCUCAGCCGCUGGACAUUUCUAUCCAUUUCCCAGAGACAGUCAUG